GUCACGCGCCGGCGCACCUGUCGGGCUCGCGCUGCCUCGGCUGCCGGUGCGGCGCCGUCCCGCAGCCCCUGCCCGCGGCCCCGACCGCCCGCGCCCCGGAGCCGGCCGCGUGAGGAGCCCGGCGAGUGUGGUGCGCCGCCGCGUCGGAGAGGGGAAGCGAGGAGGGAGACCGUUGUUUCUAACCGGCAGACGCUGCCGGGGCCCUCGAAGCCAGCGGGCGGAGCUUCAUGCCGCUCCCGCGGGCGCGGGCGCACCACACCGGUCCGCCCCGCGGCACGUCCGGCGCCGCUGGGGGCGCCCCGGGGCUCUGAAGCCGCGGCCGUGCGGGCGGCGCCCGGCCUCUCAGUCGGAGCGCUCGUAGCCAGGGGUGAGCUCGGACACAGAUGUGGACCCCGGCGGCGGCGCGCGCGGCAGCCCCCGACUUUACUAUGCCUCUGGGCUACGAGGUCAUCAGACAGCUAAAUGGAGUCUGAGCAACUGUUCCGUAGAGGCUACUGUAGAAACAGCUACAAUAGUAUAACAAGUGCGAGCAGUGAUGAGGAACUCUUAGAUGGAGCAGGUGUCAUCAUGGACUUUCAGACUUCUGAGGAUGACAAUCUGUUAGAUGGUGACACAGCAGUUGGAACACACUACACGAUGACAAAUGGAGGCAGCGUCAACAGUUCUACACACCUGCUGGACCUUCUUGAUGAGCCGAUUCCAGGUGUGGGUACAUACGAUGAUUUCCAUACUAUUGACUGGGUACGAGAGAAAUGUAAAGACAGAGAAAGGCAUAGACGGAUCAACAGCAAAAAGAAAGAGUCGGCGUGGGAAAUGGCGAAAAGUCUCUAUGAUGCGUGGUCGGGGUGGCUAGUGGUGACGUUGACGGGGCUGGCAUCAGGGGCACUGGCUGGAUUAAUAGACAUUGCUGCCGACUGGAUGACCGACCUCAAGGAGGGCAUCUGCCUUACUGCCCUGUGGUACAAUCACGAGCAGUGCUGCUGGGGGUCCAAUGAGACGACGUUCGAAGAGAGGGAUAAAUGUCCGCAGUGGAAAACAUGGGCGGAAUUAAUCAUAGGUCAGGCAGAGGGUCCUGGUUCUUACAUCAUGAACUACAUAAUGUAUAUCUUCUGGGCCUUGAGUUUUGCCUUUCUUGCCGUUUCCCUGGUAAAGGUCUUUGCUCCAUAUGCCUGUGGCUCUGGGAUUCCAGAGAUUAAAACUAUUUUGAGUGGAUUCAUCAUCAGAGGUUACUUGGGAAAGUGGACUUUAAUGAUUAAAACCAUCACAUUAGUACUGGCUGUGGCAUCGGGUCUGAGUUUAGGAAAAGAAGGUCCUCUGGUUCAUGUUGCCUGUUGCUGUGGAAAUAUCUUUUCCUACCUCUUUCCAAAGUAUAGCACAAAUGAAGCUAAAAAAAGGGAGGUGCUGUCGGCUGCCUCGGCGGCAGGUGUCUCCGUGGCUUUCGGCGCGCCCAUUGGAGGCGUCCUCUUCAGCCUGGAGGAGGUCAGCUAUUACUUCCCUCUGAAAACCCUGUGGAGGUCUUUCUUUGCUGCCCUGGUGGCUGCGUUUGUUUUGAGAUCCAUCAACCCGUUUGGUAACAGUCGCCUGGUCCUAUUUUAUGUGGAGUAUCACACACCAUGGUACCUGUUUGAACUGUUCCCCUUCAUCCUGCUCGGGGUGUUUGGAGGGCUGUGGGGAGCCUUUUUCAUCAGGGCAAACAUUGCCUGGUGCCGUCGGCGCAAAUCCACCCGGUUUGGGAAGUACCCUGUCCUGGAGGUCAUCGCAGUGGCGGCCAUCACCGCCGUGAUCGCCUUCCCGAACCCGUACACGAGGCUCAACACCAGUGAGCUCAUCAGGGAGCUCUUCACGGACUGCGGCCCCCUGGAGGCCUCCUCUCUGUGCGACUACAGGAAUGACAUGAAUGCCAGCAGGAUCGUUGAUGACAUCCCCGACCGCCCAGCAGGCCUUGGCGUAUACUCAGCUAUAUGGCAGCUGUGCUUGGCGCUCAUCUUUAAAAUUGUGAUGACGGUGUUCACUUUCGGUAUCAAGGUUCCAUCAGGCUUGUUCAUCCCCAGCAUGGCCAUCGGAGCGAUUGCAGGAAGGAUCGUAGGCAUUGCUGUGGAACAGCUUGCAUACUACCACCAUGACUGGUUCAUCUUCAAGGAGUGGUGUGAGGUGGGGGCUGACUGCAUCACUCCUGGCCUGUAUGCCAUGGUGGGCGCUGCUGCGUGCUUGGGUGGCGUGACGCGGAUGACUGUCUCCUUGGUGGUCAUUGUUUUUGAGCUCACUGGAGGCCUGGAAUACAUUGUCCCCCUUAUGGCUGCAGUGAUGACCAGUAAAUGGGUCGGUGAUGCCUUCGGGAGGGAAGGCAUUUAUGAGGCACACAUCCGGUUAAAUGGAUACCCUUUCUUGGAUGCAAAAGAAGAAUUCACUCAUACCACCCUGGCUGCCGAUGUCAUGAGGCCUCGAAGGAAUGACCCCCCCUUGGCCGUCCUGACACAGGACAAUAUGACAGUGGACGAUGUAGAAAACAUGAUCAACGAAACCAGCUACAAUGGUUUCCCUGUCAUAAUGUCAAAGGAAUCGCAGAGACUAGUGGGAUUUGCACUCAGAAGAGACCUGACCAUUGCAAUAGGUACUUGCCAGAAAAAAACAGGAAGGUAUCGUGGGCAGCUCACGUGUGUGUUUUGCACAGCACACGCCAUCUCUCCCAGCAGAAAGCCCUCGGCCACUGAAGCUCCGGAGCAUUCUGGACAUGAGCCCCUUCACAGUGACUGACCACACCCCAAUGGAGAUAGUGGUGGACAUUUUCCGGAAGCUGGGGCUGAGGCAGUGCCUCGUCACUCACAACGGGCGCCUCCUUGGCAUUAUAACAAAAAAAGAUAUCCUGCGCCAUAUGGCCCAGACGGCAAACCAGGACCCUGCGUCAAUAAUGUUCAACUGAGCUGCACAGGUGAGGAGAGCGACAAAACAGAAGAGGAGGUUCAUUUGUUGAAUAGCACAACUCUUUGACCUGAGGGAAUCAUCUACUUGUUUUCUCCUUUACAAAAAAAAAGGAAGUAUGAAAGCCAGGCUUUUGCAACACAGGUUGCAAAUAAUGCUGGUGGAGUGCAGUUGCUUGGGGAGGGAACGGCAAGAGAAGGAAACGAGGCGCCACGUCCACACCCACCAGAGAGCCACGCAUCGGCCCAUGUCUGCCGGACGCAUGCGGCUGUGGUUGGCAGGCCUCACAGUGGCCCUGGGGCCCUGGCCCUCCGGCCGCUGCAGACACGCAUGGCCAGCCCCGCUUCUGGAGGGUGCCUUCGAGGUGAGCCGUCUGUAAGACUGCACGGCCUUGCCCCUGAGUGUCAGAGCCGUUCUGUUUACGGUAUGAGUCAUACAGCCGAGCAUUACCUCCCUGCGUCUUGGAGCUCGGAGCUCGGAGCUCCUUGAUCCCUCCCUCCCUCUGGAGCUGUAACGCAGCCCCCCCUGAGUUGGUGAGCCCGUGUGCCGCAGUCCUUUCUCACAUUGAGAUGCACGGUGACUCUCAUGCCAUCACAGAGGGUGUGGGUCCACUGGCCGUGGGGUCGCGCCAGCCCCGGGAGCUCAUGCGCAGGGAAGCCCGGAGUGCGGUGUGGGUCAGACGCUGCAGUGAAACUCGACCGGAAGGGUAAACAGUCUUCUUUCUGUUUUUUUUUCUUCUCAGACUAUGGAUAAUGUGAAGCUGGUUUUAUGCAAAGUUUCUAUCUCUAGAACUAUAGUGAUAACAAGUACUAUUCAGCGUAAGGAGCCAGGCUGCCGCUGUGACAGGAGAGACGGGAGAACCCUGUGCAGCUGUGUCUGGUGUUGAUUGCAUGUUUAAACACUGGAAUUUCUUGUUCUUGAAAUUAGAUCAGUCAUUUUUUUUUUCUUUCCUCAAGAUACUUUAACUGCUGACACUGAAGAGGAAAUGUAAUUCAUAACUUGCACUAAAUGUAUAUUUCUUUUCUUAAAAAUUUACCAUUCUUAUUUAUAUUUUUAUGGAUUAAAAUUUAUAAAAUACAGAUCAGUUAAUAUCGCUCUUAAACUUACCUUUUUAAUGUGAUUUUUAUAGACUAAUUCAGACUUACAAAUAUAGAGAUACAAACAAAGUUUACAGUGGGAGCAAGGGUUUAAAAAGAGGUUGUGGUUAUUUAUGAUCCAGUGUGUACAUAAACCUUUUCUGAUUUCACUGCCAUCCCCUGGAUUAUGUCCAUUUUGAUUCAUUAACUGGAAAGUUGAAACACACUACAAAUCACUUUGCUGAUUAAAACCAGAAAUUAAAUAGUGCUAACCUUAAAAAAAAAAAUCAAACCAAUGAAAACAGUAAAAUUGCAAAGGUAGCAGUUAAAAUUUUAAUGUGAACUUAAUCUUUAACUCUUCGGGUUACACCCAUAAGUGUCAGUGAUGUUUGAAUGUCCACAGUGCACGUUUUUGCAGGGUGACCUGAAAAUGUUCUGGUGUAUGUUCGGGACUUUUGUUUUUGGAAAUGUGUCUUAAUCAUGGUCUUAAUUCACUGUUGGCAAAGGCUGUUUGUUUGAAGGGUGACCUAAAUAUUCUGUGAGUGUGCACUUUUGGUAGGAAAUUCAUGUUUGCUGACUGAUGUUUUCUGAAACAACUGGCAAUGAGCAGGUUUUACAUAUUGGAAGUAAUUCUUCACUUCCUGGUUCUUAAUGCAUCUGUCACAUAGGAUCUGUACGAUCUUGAAGACUUACAAGAUCAUGAAGCCAUAUUAGAAUGACGAUUGGAAAUUGAGCAAAACUUUAGGAAUUUCAUCAUCCUUAGUAUGGCCAUCUGCCUAAAGUGAGUAUUUGGCCCUCGUUCCCUGCCUCAGGCUGACCUCAGGGUUUCCUGCUGACCUGGGCAGAGUCCAUUGGGCAUGCAGGUGAGCCCUCGGAGUGGCAGCUCUGCGUAUCUUCUCCCUAGCUAAGUGCGCUGGCGCAUCAGGGCACGGCUGGACCACAAACUCCGCAUCAGCUGUUGUAGAACUUAAUUGCUUGUCUUGAGUUACAAGCCUUCCAAGGAGAAACCAGUUUCUUUACAGAUAGCUUCCUGACAUUAAACGUAACUCAGAUUUUAUUUUCUGUGUUUCUUUUUUUUAUUUCAGGCCUUCCUUUCUGCCCCAUCCUGCUUCAGAGACUACAUUUCAGGGUGGAUAUUCAAGGUGGAUAUUAAUUUCCUUCUUGAUGUAUUGCCACCCCUGGUACUUCUCACUGCUGACAUGCAGGAGCAGUGCUGUAUCUCUAAUGCAUCCAGUGGUUUUCUUUGGUGUUACUAUCUGUUCCACUUUUCUUUUUGAUAUGUUGAGGUGUGUCUGAUUUUUCAACCAAGCAAUGAAAUAGUACAGAUUAUGAAAUGUAUGUGCCUGGCUUACUGGCAAACUAACAGGCCGAUACCACAAGUGGAGCGCCUUAUUUGAGUACCUUUCUGAAAAGGUAUGAUGAGAAUGAGCAAGGGUGUCAGCUUCUCUUCCUGAUCAUCGUUCUCAGCCAUGGUUCAUGAAGAACGCUCAGUUUGUUAAUCUGUGAUGUUGCCUAGAGCUGUAUUUAUGUUAUUAUUUAUACUAGUGUAGUAAAGCUGCAUAUCAUCACAGUAAAAGUGAUCACUGUGAUGAAUUAAUCAGAAAAUCGAUUAAAAUCUAUCUAACAAUA